rnacentral:rRNA from 1 species
AACGAACGCUGGCGGCAGGCCUAACACAUGCAAGUCGAGCGCCCCAGCGAUGGGGAGCGGCGGACGGGUGAGUAACGCGUGGGAACGUGCCUCUUGCUACGGAAUAGCCUCGGGAAACUGGGAGUAAUACCGUAUGUGCCCUACGGGGGAAAGAUUUAUCGGCAAGAGAUCGGCCCGCGUUGGAUUAGGUAGUUGGUGGGGUAAUGGCCUACCAAGCCGACGAUCCAUAGCUGGUUCGAGAGGAUGAUCAGCCACACUGGGACUGAGACACGGCCCAGACUCCUACGGGAGGCAGCAGUGGGGAAUCUUAGACAAUGGGCGCAAGCCUGAUCUAGCCAUGCCGCGUGAGCGAUGAAGGCCUUAGGGUUGUAAAGCCCUUUCAGUGGGAAGAUAAUGACUGUACCCACAGAAGAAGCCCCGGCUAACUCCGUG